UACAGAGGUCUCGAGCGUUAGGCGGAAUCACUGGGCUUAAAGCGUGUGUAGGCGGAUCGUUAAGUGCCUUGUGAAAUCCCACGGCUCAACCGUGGAACUGCUUGGCAUACUGGCGGUCUUGAGCAACCUAGGGGCGAGCGGAACAAAUGGUGGAGCGGUGAAAUGCGUAGAUAUCAUUUGGAACGCCAAUGGUGAAAACAGCUCGCUGGGGGUUUGCUGACGCUGAGACACGAAAAGCCAGGGGAGCAAACGGGG
rnacentral:rRNA from 1 species